UGGGUUGAUAGGCAGGAUGUGGAAGAGGGGACUAAAGACCCUUGCAGCUGACCUGUACUAAUAAGCCGAUGACUUGACAACAC
rnacentral:rRNA from 1 species